GACGAACGCUGUCGGCGUGCUUAACACAUGCAAGUCGAACGGAAAGGCCCUGCUUUUGUGGGGUGCUCGAGUGGCGAACGGGUGAGUAACACGUGAGUAACCUGCCCUUGACUUUGGGAUAACUUCAGGAAACUGGGGCUAAUACCGGAUAGGAGCUCCUGCUGCAUGGUGGGGGUUGGAAAGUUUCGGCGGUUGGGGAUGGACUCGCGGCUUAUCAGCUUGUUGGUGGGGUAGUGGCUUACCAAGGCUUUGACGGGUAGCCGGCCUGAGAGGGUGACCGGCCACAUUGGGACUGAGAUACGGCCCAGACUCCUACGGGAGGCAGCAGUGGGGAAUAUUGCACAAUGGGCGGAAGCCUGAUGCAGCAACGCCGCGUGCGGGAUGACGGCCUUCGGGUUGUAAACCGCUUUCGCCUGUGACGAAGCGUGAGUGACGGUAAUGGGUAAAGAAGCACCGGCUAACUACGUGCCAGCAGCCGCGGUGAUACGUAGGGUGCGAGCGUUGUCCGGAUUUAUUGGGCGUAAAGGGCUCGUAGGUGGUUGAUCGCGUCGGAAGUGUAAUCUUGGGGCUUAACCCUGAGCGUGCUUUCGAUACGGGUUGACUUGAGGAAGGUAGGGGAGAAUGGAAUUCCUGGUGGAGCGGUGGAAUGCGCAGAUAUCAGGAGGAACACCAGUGGCGAAGGCGGUUCUCUGGGCCUUUCCUGACGCUGAGGAGCGAAAGCGUGGGGAGCGAACAGGCUUAGAUACCCUGGUAGUCCACGCUGUAAACGGUGGGUACUAGGUGUGGGGUCCAUUCCACGGGUUCCGUGCCGUAGCUAACGCUUUAAGUACCCCGCCUGGGGAGUACGGCCGCAAGGCUAAAACUCAAAGGAAUUGACGGGGCCCCGCACAAGCGGCGGAGCAUGCGGAUUAAUUCGAUGCAACGCGUAGAACCUUACCUGGGUUUGACAUGGAUCGGGAGUGCUCAGAGAUGGGUGUGCCUCUUUUGGGGUCGGUUCACAGGUAGUGCAUGCCUGUCGUCAGCUCGUGUCGUGAGAUGUUGGGUUAAGUCCCGCAACGAGCGCAACCCUUGUUCACUGUUGCCAGCACGUUAUGGUGGGGACUCAGUGGAGACCGCCGGGGUCAACUCGGAGGAAGGUGGGGAUGACGUCAAGUCAUCAUGCCCCUUAUGUCCAGGGCUUCACGCAUGCUACAAUGGCUGGUACAGAGAGUGGCGAGCCUGUGAGGGUGAGCGAAUCUCGGAAAGCCGGUCUCAGUUCGGAUUGGGGUCUGCAACUCGACCUCAUGAAGUCGGAGUCGCUAGUAAUCGCAGAUCAGCAACGCUGCGGUGAAUACGUUCCCGGGGCU
rnacentral:rRNA from 1 species